GACGAACGCUGGCGGCGUGCCUAAUACAUGCAAGUCGAACGAACUCUGGUAUUGAUUGGUGCUUGCAUCAUGAUUUACAUUUGAGUGAGUGGCGAACUGGUGAGUAACACGUGGGAAACCUGCCCAGAAGCGGGGGAUAACACCUGGAAACAGAUGCUAAUACCGCAUAACAACUUGGACCGCAUGGUCCGAGUUUGAAAGAUGGCUUCGGCUAUCACUUUUGGAUGGUCCCGCGGCGUAUUAGCUAGAUGGUGGGGUAACGGCUCACCAUGGCAAUGAUACGUAGCCGACCUGAGAGGGUAAUCGGCCACAUUGGGACUGAGACACGGCCCAAACUCCUACGGGAGGCAGCAGUAGGGAAUCUUCCACAAUGGACGAAAGUCUGAUGGAGCAACGCCGCGUGAGUGAAGAAGGGUUUCGGCUCGUAAAACUCUGUUGUUAAAGAAGAACAUAUCUGAGAGUAACUGUUCAGGUAUUGACGGUAUUUAACCAGAAAGCCACGGCUAACUACGUGCCAGCAGCCGCGGUAAUACGUAGGUGGCAAGCGUUGUCCGGAUUUAUUGGGCGUAAAGCGAGCGCAGGCGGUUUUUUAAGUCUGAUGUGAAAGCCUUCGGCCCAACCGAAGAAGUGCAUCGGAAACUGGGAAACUUGAGUGCAGAAGAGGACAGUGGAACUCCAUGUGUAGCGGUGAAAUGCGUAGAUAUAUGGAAGAACACCAGUGGCGAAGGCGGCUGUCUGGUCUGUAACUGACGCUGAGGCUCGAAAGUAUGGGUAGCAAACAGGAUUAGAUACCCUGGUAGUCCAUACCGUAAACGAUGAAUGCUAAGUGUUGGAGGGUUUCCGCCCUUCAGUGCUGCAGCUAACGCAUUAAGCAUUCCGCCUGGGGGGUACGGCCGCAAGGCUGAAACUCAAAGGAAUUGACGGGGGCCCGCACAAGCGGUGGAGCAUGUGGUUUAAUUCGAAGCUACGCGAAGAACCUUACCAGGUCUUGACAUACUAUGCAAAUCUAAGAGAUUAGACGUUCCCUUCGGGGACAUGGAUACAGGUGGUGCAUGGUUGUCGUCAGCUCGUGUCGUGAGAUGUUGGGUUAAGUCCCGCAACGAGCGCAACCCUUAUUAUCAGUUGCCAGCAUUAAGUUGGGCACUCUGGUGAGACUGCCGGUGACAAACCGGAGGAAGGUGGGGAUGACGUCAAAUCAUCAUGUCCCUUAUGACCUGGGCUACACACGUGCUACAAUGGAUGGUACAACGAGUUGCGAACUCGCGAGAGUAAGCUAAUCUCUUAAAGCCAUUCUCAGUUCGGAUUGUAGGCUGCAACUCGCCUACAUGAAGUCGGAAUCGCUAGUAAUCGCGGAUCAGCAUGCCGCGGUGAAUACG
rnacentral:rRNA from 1 species